ACUGUUCCUCCAAGCUGAUCUAUGGGUGUUGGGAAAAAAACACAUGAUAACCUCUCCAAGCUAAUCUAUGAGACAUUAACAUAUUACAUAGUGAAGGGGCGAGGUAUGUUUGUUAAGAGGAUAAAAUGAAAUAUAUUAUCAACACAAAUAAGUCUUUUCAACACAAGAAGUGUCAAAAAAAGAGAGUAAAGUCACGUCAUUACAUUACCGAGAACAACCAAAAAAGAGAAAAAGAAACUAAUUUACAGUAGUCAGACUGAAGGAAAAAAAAAACAUCAGUCAAACAAGGAAGAGGGUUAAGCCUCCACAAUUGGUAAUAUAUCUCGAUUUCAGCCACCAAAAAGACUGAAGUUUAACUUUUUCACAUAAAGAUUGCAAGUGAUCCUCCUUCGGAAAAAUGCAACUAUCUCUCUCUUUCCUAAUGACCCACACAAUUGACAACCAAAUAAUUUUAACAGUCAAACAAAUGUGUUUAUGAUAAGGUGAAAGAGGAUCACAUUACACAAUUGAUCACAUGUAAUCUCUCAAUCACGGUUAGAAAAAGGAAAGAUGAAAGAGGAUCACCUUACCAUAGACCUCUUUCUAGCUUAAACUCUUCGAUCGGACUACCGUUCACAAAAACCAAAGUUGUAGGCUUGUAGCCAGAGUGACCCAAUAAAAAAUAUGUGGGAGAGAACAAAAUUUAGCAUCUCUCGUUUUAUUUUUUACUAAAAUCUCUCUUCUUUAUUCUUAGUACCAUCAUCUUCCUAUCUGAAUUCGGGUAUGCUCCAUUUAGGCUAAGCUCCAUUUAGGGUUUGGAUGUAAGACAUGUGGCAAAAAAAUAUCUAACGGUUGAGAUUUUAAAUUAAAAAACAAAUAUUUGUUUAAUAAAAAUACAUAAUAAUAACAAACAAAUCAUGUUUCCUUCUUCUCUUGUAUCGCAACAACCUUUUAUUGUUUUUUAAUUUAAAAUAUCAACCGUUACAUAUUUUUUUACCACAUGUCUUACAUCCAAACGCUAAAUGGAAUAAAUGGAGCAUACCGAACUCGAUCCUAUCCUAAUUUUUGUAUCCUAACAUUCUUCUUUUGGGCAUUCACAAUAGAAAAGUUCCAUUGACGAGUGGUGGCCAUCAUGACGAAAUCAGAUGUGUGCAAUGUCCACAUGUGCAAGAACCAAAUUAGGUUCUCAAAAAGUUAUACAAAAAUCAUUUUCGUAUUCACCGUGAGUAGUAAAAUGCAUAUGAUUAUUUAGUGAACUUUUUUUAAAAACUAUUUUGGAUGAACUUCAAUGCUAUAAAUAGCAACCCUUUGAAAAUCAUAAUCAACAAAAUAAGAUUACCAGAAAAUAAGAACAGUACCCAAGGAAUUGUCUAUUAUAACUCUUGUGUGUAUUUUCAACAUACAUAUAUGAUUUUAUCAUCAUUCUCAGUUCUCACUCCAACUCACAUCAUGCUUGCUUGAUUCAUAAAAUAAUAAAGUCACAUUAUGGUUGUUCUUUCAAUGGAGGGUGGAAAGGAACAAGUAGGAAGAAAAUGAAAUAUACACCGGAUAUGUUUUUUUUAAGGAUCAAAUAUAUUAUUUUAUUAAGAAAUCUAGUGGUUAGAACUCAUACAAUUUAAUUGUGGAAAAAUACGGUAUCCCUACCAACUGAAUUCAGCUCACGAUAAUAAGAUCAAAUAUUAAUAUUUACAUGUAUAUAGAAAAUUACACAUGAAUGAAAGAGAAACAAACAAUAAGUGACACUAUUAAUUUUUUUUAAUGACAAAAUUAAAUUUAAAAUGUGAUGUAGUUAGGAACUAAAUUGUUCCCUUAUAUUGUUAUCAAAUGGGUCAAUUUGUCCCUUUUGUCUCCGAUGUAACGUCGGUCAAGGUGACAUGUGAAAUUGCACACAUUAGCAUUGUUCAAAAAUCACACACAAAAUAGUUGUUUUGAACACUUCAUAGUUGUAUAGAAGUUCUAGCUCAACUAGUAAAAUAUCGAAAUUGUUAGGUCAGAUGCUAUGAUCGGGGUUCGAACCCCGGCGCCUCCACUUGUUGUGUGAGUUUAUAAUGGUUUUGUCAUUUCGUCUAUCUAAAAAAAAAAAAAUGAUUGUCGUAUCCUAAUUUUAUUUUUGUCAUAGACCAAAAAUUGUGUUUUUCAUCAAUAUGACCAAAUCGAAUUACGUAGAGUGCAUAUGUUUGAUAUCACAAUAUGUUUUCUAAAGUCACGAUGAGUUGUCUGAUUUUACAAAAACUACACUUUAUACAAAUUUGGAUUGUAUGUGAGUAUGGUAGAAUUACGGCGGACCACUACGAUUUAAGUAAAAGCUAAAUUAUAUCAUCGUGAUUUUGUCAAAGCUGCAUUAAUUUUAAACAUCACUCUGUAACUUUUAUAAAAUCACAGUGGUUCAUUAUGAUUCUGACAAACUUAUUCAGUUGUCAGAUAUCAGACACAAACACCUAAUUUUUGUGAAGGAAGGGAAUAUCAGUUCACUUUAUUUCAAAAGACCAAUUUGGGUCUCUGCCCUUUCUUUUACUAUAUAUAGUACUAACUAAGUCAAGUGAAUGAACCAAAACCACACCAUAACAAAACAACCAUGAAACUCACACUUUCCCUCUUGUUCCUAUCCCUCUCCCUAGUCCAAGGACUAAACCCCAAAUGUGAUGUCCAAGACAAUGGUUCAACACUCCAAGUAAUCCAUGUGUUCAGCCCAUGUUCCCCAUUUAGGCCAUCAAAGCCACUGUCAUGGGAAGAAAGUGUCCUCCAAAUGCAAGCCAAAGACACAACUAGACUUCAAUUCCUUGAUAGUUUAGUAGCUAGAAAAUCUAUUGUACCUAUUGCUUCUGGUAGACAAAUCAUACAGAGUCCAACUUACAUUGUUAGGGCUAAAAUUGGUACUCCACCUCAAACUUUGCUUUUGGCUAUGGAUACUAGUAAUGAUGCUGCUUGGAUUCCUUGUACUGCUUGUGAUGGUUGUGCUUCAACUUUGUUUGCUCCUGAAAAAUCAACUACAUUUAAGAAUGUUAGUUGUGCUGCUCCUGAAUGCAAACAGGUAUUUACUUCACUAACAAAGACACAUUUUUUUGUCAAGGUUUUCGUGACUAGGUAUAUUUUUAUAUUGGCGUAAAUUUGAUAAAAUUAUGAUAGUACUAUGAUUUCGUGAAACUUUAAAAUGUAGUUUUUGUUAAAAAAUUACGAAGGUUCAUCUUGAUUCUGAUAAUCUCAUCACCGUGAAUCUAAACAUUGGAAGAAAAUUAUGGUUUUAAAUUGUGGUUGUGGUCGUGACUUUGAUAUGGUGACACGAUACAAAUGAUGCAAUUGCAAUUAUCGUCACGAUGUUGCUAAGACAUCUAAAACUUUAUAAUGUUGCUAUAAUUGUUUGCAAACCCUAAUUUAAAAAUCUGAGUUGAUUUCAAUUUCCAAGCUCUCACAUCUAUUUUUUAUUUUGAUUCUUUGCCUUUUUCUUCAUAAACAUUUUUUUCGGUGCAAUGAUUUAUUUUUACUCCAAGGUAUUUAUUCUAAUAAUUUGCUAGUACCUUCAUUAAAAAUUGAAAUAUUUUGAUUUUUGAUUAUAUGCAAAAUCUAUUCAUGGUUUUCAUGUUUUGUUAACUAGCUAGUGGAUUAUGCAUUAUUAAAAUCACAACAAUUGUGAAAUAUUUGUUGAAAAAGGUAAUCUGUUUAAUAUAUGAUCAUACUUUAAGAAAAGAUGUGAUUUGAAUACUUUACAGUUUUUUAUUUCGUAAUCAGCAUCAUAACAUAAGAUACUAUAUUUUUAUUUUGUAAUCAUAUCCAAAGAUACUCCUUAUUUUGUCGAUUGUCAUAUUUCUAUUCUAUUUUAAAAUUUAAAACAAUCACGUGACCUCAAAUGCCACAAGGUACACAUCGCUACUGUGAAUGUUUUUGUACUCUAGUGAAGUGUACAUAAAAAUUUGUUUGAACUGGUGAAAGAUUUGUUUUGAGGAUGCCAAUAAAAUUAUUGAAUCACUACAUGAUAUUUAGUGUAGAAGUGAGCCAAUUAAAUUCUUCAAAUUAAUGGAAUUUUUAUAUGAUCCCUAAAAAUUACUAAAAUACUUGGUCACUUUGUUACGUGACAAUUGUAAAACUAAUUUGAUCGACUAAAAGAUAAAAGAAUAUCCUUCUGGUUGUAUUUAUAAGCAAUUUUUUUUUAUAACUGAUGUGUUUGGAUUAUAAUAUAUUUCAGAUACAUCAGUUAUUAUGUUUUAAAAAAAAAAAAAUACAUCUGUUAUUUAAUAAAUCUAAAAAAACAAAAAUAUUUAUAAAUAUGAUCGGAAAAAGUAUUAUAUAUCGUCGUAAAAUAGAGCUUAAAUUAUCUUAGACAAACUACUUAAAUUAUCUUUACUUGGACAAAAGUUCACAUGACAUACAGCUUGGCACGAAUCUUUUACCUUUACUUGCCGUUGAAGGGUAAUUACUAGUUUCACAAUGAAAGGGACUACAAGGAGAGAUUAUUUGAUCACAUUGAAACGUGCAACUUUUGUCCCAUUGUAGGUGGGGUUGACUUAUAUCCUAGCCCAAUCUAUGAAUCCAAAAUAUUGAAAGCUAUGUGCUCUCUAUGGCAGGCAAAGGUUCACGAGACUUGGAGUCUUCUAAAAUCUAAAUGCACUUUUUCCAAUGAUGUAAUCAUGGUUUAAAAAUUGGAUUGAAACCGUCGUAUUAAUCGGUCAAUAAAAAUUGACCGAUUUAUCAGUUGGUUUAUUUUCGACAGUUUUAAAUUCUAUUAGUUGAAUUAGAUUGAUAUGAGUUGAAUAGAUUGAAUUGAAUUCUAGUUGAAUUAGAUUGAACUAGGUUGAGUUGAUUGAAUUGUAAAUGACGAAAAAAUUCAAAAAUCGAUUAAUACAUUGGUUGGUUUAUUCUGGUCUAAUAACCAUUGAAUGGAUUGAACCAUGAUCAGUCUUAUUAAUUCAUUCUCCAUCUCAUUUUUGAAACAUUGGUAUUAAUGUGAACAUUUUAUUUUGUUUCAUUUUUCAGGUACCUAACCCUGGUUGUGGUGUGAGCUCAUGCAAUUUCAACCUAACCUAUGGCAGUUCCUCUAUUGCAGCUAACUUGGUACAAGACACUAUUACCUUAGCCACCGACCCAGUUCCUAGCUACACAUUCGGUUGUGUUUCAAAAACCACAGGCACCUCUGCCCCACCACAAGGUCUAUUGGGCUUGGGCCGAGGCCCGUUGUCACUUUUGUCUCAAACCCAAAACCUCUAUCAGUCCACAUUCU
rnacentral:lncRNA from 1 species